AACGCACCUUGCGCUCUCUGGUAUUCCGAAGAGCAUGCCUGUUUGAGUGUCAUGAAAAUAUCAACCUUACUUGGGUUUUGUGCUCUAGUCUUGGCUUGGAAUUGGGUGCUUGCCGCUUUUACGAGCGGCUCACCUUAAAUGUAUUAGCUGGAUCUGUCUUUGAGACUUGGUUUGACUUGGCGUAAUAAGUAUUUCGCUAAGGACAUUCUUCGGAGUGGCCUCGUUUCUAGGACGCUUGUCCGCUUCCCAAUUCAAGUUCCACCUCGUGGGCAUGACUUGUUUAUUAUCUGGCCUCAAAUCAGGUAGAACUACCCGCUGAACUUGA
rnacentral:misc_RNA from 1 species